CACGUAGGGUGCGAGCGUUGUCCGGAAUUAUUGGGCGUAAAGAGCUCGUAGGCGGUGUGUCGCGUCGGCCGUGAAAACCUGCAGCUCAACUGUGGGCUUGCGGUCGAUACGGGCAUCACUGGAGUUCGGCAGGGGAGACUGGAAUUCCUGGUGUAGCGGUGAAAUGCGCAGAUAUCAGGAGGAACACCGGUGGCGAAGGCGGGGUCUCUGGGCCGAUACUGACGCUGAGGAGCGAAAGCGUGGGGAGCAAACAGG
rnacentral:rRNA from 1 species